UUGGGAGCUCGAUGAGAUCGA
rnacentral:miRNA from 1 species